rnacentral:pre_miRNA from 1 species
GUAGUACUCCCUCCGUCCGGAAAUACUUGUUGGAGGAAUGAAUAUAUGUAGAUGUAUUUUAGUUCUAGAUACAUUCAUUUUUAUGCGUUUCUCCGACAAGUAUUUCCGGACGGAGGGAGUACUUC